ensembl:lncRNA
AGGAGGGCUGCGGCGGCGGAGCCUCCCGGUGGGAGAGGGAGGCGGCGGCGAGCCCGCGGGGGAGCCACACGCGCCAAGCGCCCGCUGCGCGCUCAAACGCCUCAUCGCGUUCAUCCUGGAGCCAGACUGUCUGGGUUCAAAUCCCGCCAGCCCACUUACCGGCUGUGUCAUCCUGGGCAAGUGACUUCACCUCUCCACGUCUCAGUUUGCUCGCAGACUUUUAUCAAGCAUCUACUAUGUACUGGGUCCUGAGCUAGAUACAGGAGCUAAAGAUGUGAAUAAUAUACUUUAUUUGAUGCCCGUUUGCUUCUAUGAGUGGCAUAUCUCUGGAAAGAUACAUCGGAAGCUGGAAGCCAUGACUGUCCCCGUGGAGGGAGACUUGGCAUCAGGAGACGUGGUUACAUAUAAAGAAACGCAGGCACAGAGAGUUCUGAAAGAAGGCAACUGGAUACCAGGCACUUUCAAAAGGAAACCCUUACCACAUGUGAGGAGGUUGUCCCCAAGAGCACUUUCUAACCAACAUCCUACACGCCAAGUUCCAUCUCUGAGUCUGCUUCCCAGGGCCCUCGCUGGAUUACAAAGCCCUGCGGAGCUUCUUGAGGACGGCAACAGCGUCUUAACGACUUCUGCAUCUCCAGCAGCUCUCACUGGGCAGGGUGCAUUGUGGAUGCUCCAGAAACAUCUACUGAAUGCAUUUUAAUGCAUUUUCUCUUGGUUCUCUGUUCUGUCCCUCUGUCGUCCCAGCAGGAGAGUUCUCAUCAGACAUCCAGGAGAAAGGGACGGCCCCACCAGCAGGAUGCCAGUGGGACCAGGGCUGUGGGCCUGUUUCUGGGAAAUGUACCAUUUGCCAAUGAAACCGUAACCAACCAUGGGAACAGAAUUCAAGCUAACUGGUUACUACAAAGUGGGGGCAAAGGGGCCUGGCUGAUGCCAGGGCUGUGUGGUUAGGGUGAAAGCUCAAGGGGAUGGCUGGGAGGCUGGAGGCUGGCAGGAAUGGGUGACGGCGGUGGUGGUGAAUUGUGGGGUGAAUCAUUUGGAUGUCAGACUGCCCCAGAACCCGGAAAAUCUCCACUUCAGUUUUUCUUUUUUUUUUUUUGGAAGAUUAGCCCUGAGCUAACGUCUGUUGCCAAUCCUCCUUUUUUUGCUGAGGAAGACUGGCUCUGAGCUAACAUCCAUGCCCAUCUUCCUCUACUUUAUAUGUGGGAUGCCUGUUACAGCAUGGCCUGCCAAGCUGUAGAUAAGUCCACACCUGGGGUCCGAACUAGCAAACCCCAGGUUGCUGAAGUAGAACGUGCAAACUUAACCGCUGGGCCACCGAGUUGGCCCCUUAACUUCAGUUUCUACAGUUGGAAAUUCCUUCACAGAAUAAGUAUCUAUGGAGUGCCUUCUCCAUGCCAGACACUGUCGCAAAGAUGGCGCCCUUCAAAGGCCAGGACUCCAAUGCCUGCUCCUCUUCUCACUCUGUCACCCAGGCAAGCACAUUACAUCCUCUUUGCUGACAUCUGCUGAGUGGUAAUCAGUGAGCACCCAGCACUGUGCUAACUCUUUACACACAAUGUGUCAUUUCAUCUUCAUAACAGCUUCAUCAGGAGAUAUGUGU